CUCACAUGAAUAUAUUUUUCCUCAAAUACAAAUUACAAGAGAUAGUCAAAGUCAUGUAUAUAAAUAGUGUCAAAAGUCAAAACAUGUAAACUAAUAAAGACCGGAGAGAUUAAAUGACAAGCUAAAUAUAAUGACAUAAAGUUUAUCUUUGAACCAGUUUCUGCUAGUUUUGUAUGUAUUUUGGUGUAUCCUGGCAUGUUGCUGUGUGUCAGCAAAUUUACCGCGCAUCAAUAAUCUCUUAUUAACAAAUUGAAAAUUUUGAAUUAUAACUUCAAUAUUGUUUUGUAUUAUAGGUACUUGAUGAUAUGGUAUUUAGUGGUCUAAUUUGACCACCAUGACUCUGGUUCCGGAACCAUCGAGUUCGGCUACCCAACAUCUCCAUUUUACUUUCUUUGGGACAAGAGAAAGAGGAAAAUGGGAAAGAAAGAAGAAAUGACCAUUCUCGAGGGAACUCUCGAUUUGGAAACUAUUAAUAACGAAUUGGCGCUAAACACAUAGUGAUGCAAGUAGGUCAUGUAACUUCACUCUGAAGGAGCCAAGUUCUAUGCUGGAUUCGAAAUCCAUUUGGUGGGAUUAAUCGGCUCGUGAUCACUUGUGUCAAUCAAUGGGCUUCGGAUAGCAACAGUCUG